CCUAGUAACUGCGAGUGAAGCGGGAAGAGCUCAAAUUUAAAAUCUGACAGCCUUUGGCUGUUCGAGUUGUAAUCUAGAGAAGUGUUAUCCGCGCUGGACCGUGUACAAGUCUCCUGGAAUGGAACAUCAUAGAGGGUGAGAAUCCCGUCUUUGACACGGACUACCAGGGCUUUUGUGAUACGCUCUCAAAGAGUCGAGUUGUUUGGGAAUGCAGCUCUAAAUGGGUGGUAAAUUCCAUCUAAGGCUAAAUAUUGGCGAGAGACCGAUAGCGAACAAGUACCGUGAGGGAAAGAUGAAAAGAACUUUGGAAAGAGAGUUAAACAGUACGUGAAAUUGUUGAAAGGGAAACGCUUGAAGUCAGUCGCGUUGAUUAGGGAUCAACCUUGCUUCUUUGCUUGGUGUACUUCCUAGUUGAUGGGCCAGCAUCAAUUUUGACCAGUGGAUAAAGGUCAAGGGAAUGUGGCAUCUCCGGAUGUGUUAUAGCCUUUGAUUGUAUACAUUGGUUGGGAUUGAGGAACUCAGCACGCCACAAGGCCGGGUUUCGACCACGAUCGUGCUUAGGAUGCUGGCAUAAUGGCUUUAAUCGACCCGUCUUGAAACACGGACCAAGGAGUCUAACAUGCCUGCGAGUAUUUGGGUGGCAAACCCAUGUGCGUAAUGAAAGUGAAGAUCAGGAUCUCUGUCAUGGAGAGCACUGAUGCCCGGACCAGACCUUUUGUGACGGAUCUGCGGUAGAGCAUGCAUGUUGGGACCCGAAAGAUGGUGAACUAUGCCUGAAUAGGGUGAAGCCAGAGGAAACUCUGGUGGAGGCUCGUAGCGAUUCUGACGUGCAAAUCGAUCGUCAAAUUUGGGUAUAGGGG
rnacentral:rRNA from 1 species